UUUAAUAAAUAAAUAAUUUGAUAGAGAUAUAUAUAUGUAGAAUAUAAUUAAUAUAUUAGAACCUUACUUUUAUGAAGAGGACAAUAAUCAAACAAUUUAGCAUUGAGGAAUAUUUCUUGAGCUCGUCAGUCAUAAACAAAAACGGCAGAAGCUGGAGGGAAGCCCAAAGUAUCGAAUGCCAGAGAAACAUUAGACAUCCUUGCCAAAAUAUCCAAAUUGUUGAACACCGGCUUGGACACAGAUACCCUAGCCCUGUGUGUCAGAUUGUGUGAGAAUGGCAUCAAUCCUGAGGCUUUGGCGCUGGUUAUUCAAGAGUUGAGGCGAGAAUCGGCUGCAAUUAAAGCAUCUGAGUCAUCCAAUUUAUCAUGAAAAAAGGAGAAUGCUAAAAUACCAGAGAAAUAUAUUAUCAAAAGCCUCUCUUGUGUAUGUGGUACGGAUGCAAAGGAUUGCCUGAAAAGAAUCAUGCGGCGAAUCUUGACCGACGUGGUUUUAUAACUGUUAAGGCCAAAGAGGAGAAAAGUCUGCUUUCAAGGGGCUUUCAAAGGUGCAGACCAUGAUAUGCAAAGCUGUACAGAAGAACAAUGGGUGGAUGGAGGCUUCAGAUAACAUCGAAAAAAGCAGCAGCAGAAAGAGUCGGGGUAGAAAGCAGAGAGAACAAAACUAAAUGCUAGGAUAUUUCAAGGAGGUGACAACUGCGUUUCUGUGGCCUGUGAAUUUUCUGGAAUUUACUGUAUUUUUAUGGCAGAAUUUUGUAGCUACGUUUCCUCGUUGGAAUUUGGCAUGCUGAACAGCUGUAUAGAUGUUUUAUUCAUUUUUGGAAAAUCACCUUGGAUUAUCCAGCUUUUUUGCUACACUGUAUCAGCCUCUGUAUACCAAACUGUGUGCUAAUUCCCCCUCCCUCCCCCCACCCCCCGCAACCAGUUCAUCACCUAUUUUCUGAUGGAAAAAAGAGACUUACAAGAAACUGAAAUUAAAAACUGUGACAUCGUUAUUAUCCUCAUCUUCAGUUAAGGGCAGGCAGCUGAGGUAAAAAUUUUCUUUUAUGUUUUAUGGGAUAGAGCAUAUUUUUGCAGUCACCUUAAUUUUAAAAAAA